rnacentral:rRNA from 1 species
ACGCUGGCGGCGUGCCUAACACAUGCAAGUCGAGCGGUAACAGGUGUAGCAAUACGUGCUGACGAGCGGCGAACGGGUGAGUAAUGCUUCGGAAUCUGCCCAAUGGUGGGGAAUAACCAGCCGAAAGGUUGGCUAAUACCGCAUAAGUCCUACGGGGGAAAGCAGGGGAUCGCAAGACCUUGCGCCGAUGGAUGAGCCGAAGUCGGAUUAGCUAGUUGGUAGGGUAACGGCCUACCAAGGCGACGAUCCGUAGCUGGUCUGAGAGGACGACCAGCCACACUGGGACUGAGACACGGCCCAGACUCCUACGGGAGGCAGCAGUGGGGAAUAUUGGACAAUGGGGGAAACCCUGAUCCAGCGACGCCGCGUGUGUGAAGAAGGCCUGCGGGUUGUAAAGCACUUUUAGUGGGGAUGAAAAGCUCAGGGCUAACACCUCUGGGUCUUGACCUAACCCAAAGAAAAAGCACCGGCCAACUCUGUGCCAGCAGCCGCGGUAAUACAGAGGGUGCGAGCGUUAAUCGGAAUUACUGGGCGUAAAGCGUGCGUAGACGGUUAUGUAAGUCGGGUGUGAAAGCCCCGGGCUCAACCUGGGAAU